UACGUAGGGCGCAAGCGUUGUCCGGAAUUAUUGGGCGUAAAGAGCUCGUAGGCGGCCUGUUGCGUCCGCUGUGAAAACCCGGGGCUUAACCCCGGGCUUGCAGUGGAUACGGGCAGGCUGGAGGCAGGCAGGGGAGAACGGAAUUCCCGGUGUAGCGGUGAAAUGCGCAGAUAUCGGGAGGAACACCGGUGGCGAAGGCGGUUCUCUGGGCCUGUACUGACGCUGAGACGCGAAAGCGUGGGGAGCGAACAGG
rnacentral:rRNA from 1 species